GUUAUUCCUUGUAACCAAUAUCGGGUGAAGGCGUGUUUGCAGAGUGGUUUAUGUAGCUAAAUAUCUACUCUACUGGUGCCACAUUUUGACUGUAGGGUUUCCGCAAAUGUAAUUAAAAGUUGGGUCUAUUCGUCUGUGGCAAAGAUACUGUAUUUAUAUCUCCCCUGGUGUUAGCUAGAUACUGGCUAGCUAGGUCUUCAUCUGUCUGGUGUUAGCUAGAUACUGGCUAGCUAGGUCUUCAUCUGUCUGGUGUUAGCUAGUUACUGGCUAGCUAGGUCUUCAGCUGUCUGGUGUUAGCUAGUUACUGGCUAGCUAGGUCUUCACCUGUCUGGUGUUAGCUAGUUACUGGCUAGCUAGGUCUUCAUCUGUCUGGUGUUAG